rnacentral:rRNA from 1 species
AGCUCCAGCAGCGUAUAUUUAUAUUGCUGCGUUUAAAAAGCUCGUAGUUGAAGCGUCAGACGCGGGAGGGCGGACGGCCGAUUGGUCGCUCGCGCCCGACCGAGCCAGGCGCAGAGGGCGCGCGUCGCUUGCACUUCAUCGUGUGAGCACGCCGCCGCUGCACGUUCACCUUGAAGAAAUUGAACCGCUCAGAGGAGGCGUGCAGCUCGAACAGCUCAGCAUGGUAUGAUGGAAAAUGGGCUCGUACUCAUUUUGUUGGUUAGAGAGUCGGCGAGCCAAUGAUUAACAGGGACUGCCGGGGGCAUUCGUACUCGGACGGGAGAGGUGAAAUUCAAGGAUCGUCCGAAGACGCCCUACUGCGAAAGCAUUUGCCAAGAAUGUUUUCAUUAAUCAAGAACGA